ACGAACGCUGGCGGCGUGCCUAAUACAUGCAAGUCGAACGGUCUUUCUAUGGAAGCUUGCUUCCACUGAGAAGAUAGUGGCGAACGGGUGAGUAACACGUGGGUAACCUGCCCAUAAGAGGGGGAUAACAUCCGGAAACGGGUGCUAAUACCGCAUAGUUUUCUUGAUUGCAUGAUUGAGAAAGGAAAGACGGCCUUUGUGCUGUCGCUUAUGGAUGGACCCGCGGCGUAUUAGUUAGUUGGUGAGGUAACGGCUCACCAAGACGAUGAUACGUAGCCGACCUGAGAGGGUGAUCGGCCACAUUGGGACUGAGACACGGCCCAAACUCCUACGGGAGGCAGCAGUAGGGAAUCUUCCGCAAUGGACGAAAGUCUGACGGAGCAACGCCGCGUGAGUGAAGAAAGGUUUUCGGAUCGUAAAACUCUGUUGUCAGAGAAGAACAAGUUGGAGAGUAACUGCUCCAGCCUUGACGGUAUCUGACCAGAAAGCCACGGCUAACUACGUGCCAGCAGCCGC
rnacentral:rRNA from 1 species